rnacentral:tRNA from 2 species
GGGGGUGUAGCUCAGUUGGGAGAGCGCCUGCUUUGCAAGCAGGAGGUCGACGGUUCGAGCCCGUUCACCUCCA